GAAAGGCUCAAUGGUAGCGCGUUUGGCUUCGAGUGCUGGAUGAUUUACCAAAAGGUUGCAGGUUCGAGUCCUGCGGUGGUCA